rnacentral:tRNA from 1 species
GGGGUAUAGCUCAGUGGUAGAGUGCCCACCUAACAUGCAUGAUGCCCUGGGUUUGAUCCCCAGUACCACCA